rnacentral:rRNA from 1 species
AUACGUAGGUGGCAAGCGUUGUCCGGAAUUACUGGGUGUAAAGGGCGUGUAGGCGGGAAUGUAAGUCAGAUGUGAAAUACCGCAGCUCAACUGCGGAGCUGCAUCCAAAACUGUUGUUCUUGAGUGGAGUAGAGGUAGGCGGAAUUCCGAGUGUAGCGGUGAAAUGCGUAGAUAUUCGGAGGAACACCAGUGGCGAAGGCGGCCUACUGGGCUCUUACUGACGCUGAGGCUCGAAAGUGUGGGGAGCAAACAGGAUUAGAUACCCUGGUAGUCCACACUGUAAACGAUGAUUGCUAGGUGUGGGGGGUCUGACCCCUUCCGUGCCGGAGUUAACGCAAUAAGCAAUCCACCUGGGGAGUACGGCCGCAAGGUUGAAACUCAAAUGAAUGGACGGGG